rnacentral:misc_RNA from 1 species
GGACUACUAGGGUUUCUAAUCCUGUUCGCUCCCCACACUUUCGCUCCUCAGCGUCAGGUAAUGCCCAGAGAACCGCCUUCGCCACCGGUGUUCCUCCUGAUAUCUGCGCAUUUCACCGCUACACCAGGAAUUCCGUUCUCCCCUGCAUACCUCUAGUCUGCCCGUAUCGGAAGCAGGCACGGGGUUAAGCCCCGUGUUUUCACUCCCGACGCGACAAACCGCCUACGAGCCCUUUACGCCCAAUAAUUCCGGACAACGCUCGCACCCUACGUAUUACCGCGGCUGCUGACAC